UCAUCGGUGAUUCUCUGAAUCAGCAUUGAAUCUUCAGAUUCAGAUUCAGCUGAACUGAAUCAAGGAUAGUGAUCUGAAUCAAUGAAUCAAAUCACUGUCCCUGAUUUGGGCUGAAUCUGAAUCGAAUAGGGCCCAUUUUGCACACCCCUAGUACUUUGUCAGCAUCGGACAAAGUGGUUGUUACCUAUGAAAUCUCAUGCCUCUCCAAACAAGUUAGUCACCCUACAUUGCCGUAGUGAUGCACUAUGGUGAUAUAGCACAUCACUACUGUGACGUAGGGUGGUGUGUAGACAUACCCCUAAAGGGCUUUUUUAGAAGUGGUUAGCUUAGUGGGCUUCUUAAGGAAUCUAUGAAAGAGCAUAAAAGCUGCUCUCCCUGGGCUGAGAAUGCUUUCAUCCUGCCUGGGGAGACCACCUGUAGGUACAAUUUGCAUGUGUGUUGCAUGAGGCAGACUGGGGAGGGGACAGACAAUACAAUGGCAGAUGGGACAUGGAACAGAAAGCAGCAGAUAGGGAAGGAGGCAGAAAGCAGGGAGCAGAGCAACAGUUGUUUCUUUUUAAUGGGUUGGGUGCUUUCUUACCGUCUCUACUAUGUGCUUGAAAUCUUAUUUCUAGAGUCACUUCAUAAUACAUAACAGUAAAUGUUGUAAUGUAAAACAUUAGGGAUUUAUAGUUGGGCAUCUUAAUAGUCUAUAGUUUAUCAUUUAAUUUACACCUUUUAGUUUUUAGUGUUUAUUCUUAUGCUUUUGGGGUGUGACAGUAAAAAGUCAGACUGUAGAGCUCUUACCUUUUUUUCUGACUGGGUGGUGAUGAUAAAAUGGAACUAUUCCUUACUUCUAGGUCUUAGCUUGCAAAAAAAAAAAAUCCUGAUCAAAGAUAGGCUUUAGUCUUGUCUGUGCCACACUUUGUCAUAAUUAUAAUAUAAACUAAAAAAGGGAGCUUUAUUUUAUUUCUUAUGUCAUCUUCAGGUUCCUGGUAUAGAAAGAUACUUAUUUGGAAGCAAAAAUUGACUUAUUGGCAGUUCCAGGCAAGUUUUAUUUUCAAUUCAUCAUCUUAAGUGUCUCAUUUAAAUUAUGGGCAUGAAGCCCUUGUAUAGGAUUGGCAAAACACAUUUCUUUUAAACUAAAAGACUCAUGCUAGUUGAGUAAAGAUCAGUUUUGUGUGUUUUUAUAUUUAGGUUAAUGUUAGAAAAAUGGAAAAUCAGUAAUACAAGAAACAACUGUUCCCCUCCUUUACUUGUUACAGAUUAGGGUGCUGUUGGUGUCUUUGGGUAAGAUGUCUUGUAGUUGUGCAGUAGGGUUGAUUGUAGAGUUUUAAGAAUAGGUUAGACAAGGACUUCUAUGGGAUGGUUUAGAUAGGGAUGAUCCUGUCUUGAGCAGGGGGCUGGAUUACAUGAUGUCCAGAGGUCCAUUCCAGCCCCACUUUUCAGUGAUUCUGCCCUUGUACAGACAUUUGGUUUGUCUUGGGAGAGUCAUUGCUCUUCCAGGAAAAACCACGAGUGUACAGAUGUUCAGGCUUUUAAUUCCAGACUAGAAGUGGCUGCUUCAGGAGAAAAAUAACCUGGGAACAACCAGGGUUAAAUCACUUUCAGGAGAGUUUGUUGUGGGAGAGUCAAUGUCUGUACAAGCUGACAACACAGACUGACCAUGGGCAGUCUAGGUUAGCCAGUCAGGAUUGCCCUAUGUACUGCUGUAAUCUGUUGCUGGGCAGAAAAAGGGAGCUUGCAGAGGAUACUGAGACGGGGGCACAGACCUUCCUUCCUGCCCACAUUAGGUUUACAAGCUCUCCACUCUUCAGGGCAGUCAAAUUCCUGUACACAUGGCUCUGGAUGAGUUUUGCUACCAGAAGAACAAACCCGGGAGGAUUCUCCCAGAUAAUGUGAAUGUGUGUACACUGCCUCUGUGAUCUGUAUUUGAAACAGAACUAAGCUUAAAUAGUUCAAUGAAAAUUCAUGGAAAUGGCAAUAGAAAGGCAGGACAAAUCUAUUUCCCAGAUGCCACUUGCUUGCACUGACUUCAAACUUUAUGCAAACAUACAAUAGCAGGCAAUAUACAUAGAAAUAGCUGCCUCCCAGCCCUUCCCUCUCAGUCUGUCCAGAACUAGUUAUUUCUAAGGUAAAAUUCACUAUUACAUGUUCAGCAAUCACCUCUAUACCACCUGAAUCCCACAUAAACUUUAUGAGCUCAACACAAGUGCUGAUUCCCUGCAUGGAGAAUCACUAGUAGCACUGCAUAGUCAUGUGUAAUCAUGCUUUGAUAUGUUAGUUCCAUUACAGUCACUUCUAUCACAUACAUGGAAGAGUUAAGGAUGGAAUUGGAUGACUGGGCUUUGUACCUGACCUAGAUGAUGAUGGUUUCUAUGCCCCAGUAAAUCUGCUAGUGGAGGUGGCCAUCUGCUUUUAUGUACUGUAGCAGGGCACUGGAAUGAGCCUGCUCCUUUAAGGGAGCAAGCAGCUGGAGAGAGGUAAUGGCUAAGGGAGCUAAUGAAAGACUCACCUGACCAGAAGAGGGCUCAGGCUUGAGCUAUAUAAGCCCAGAGCCUGCACCAGUCAGGGGGUCUUGCCCUGGCAGCUAUGAAGGGAGGAGCUUCUGAAAGCAGAGCAGCAAGUCUCUUGAACUGACAGUGUAGCUGAAUGAGAAACUGCAGACUGGGAGACAAGGGAAGGUACCUGGGGCAGAGAGGGGCUCCUAUCUAUAGGAAGGUGGCCUUGGUUUUAGGUUAAGUCCAGAGAGGGUUUGGACGCCUGCUAGAGGAUGCAGGUGCUUUGAUUUAGUGGACCUGGGUUUAUCCUUGAACUUUGCUGGAGCAGGCUCAAGGCCCAUUUAUAGAGACCCAGACCAGAGAGACCAUGGGCCCAGAUGGGGCUGAACUGGACUAAGGGGUCCCUAAGCCCAGAGAGGUGGAUCAGGGGGUCUGCAGGCCCAGAGAGGGAUUAUAUGUGGGACCAAGGAUCAAGAGCCUGGAGAAGGGGCUAUGUGUGGGUCCAGGCAUUUGAGAACUCAGGAAGGGGCUGAGUAAGGGACCAGGUGGUCUGAGGGCCCAGAUGGGUUGAGAGUAUAAAGUGAGAGCAUCAAGGAUUGAUGAUACCUGUGAGGUUUGGGGUGUGGUGUAGGGGAGAAAUGGAACCAAGCAAUCUGGCCUUAAGGCUACAGGUGCCCUGCAGGGGUAUGGGCAAAGCAAGAAGGGCUGAUUGGACUUGUGGGCUGGGUCAAGACCAGUAGGGUCCAGGAGUGACUCAGUGCAGGUUUCAGCAAGAUUGGGGAUCACUGUAAGGCCCAUGGGCAGCUGCUCUCAUUCAACUCUCAAUAAGAACAAAGCAUAGUGGGCAAGUAUUUGAGGGAGGGUGACAUUAGAGUGAGAGCUGAGCAGGAGCUCCAUAGCACCCAGGGGCUGUCAUGACCAGCCCUGUGCCCAUGAGCCUACUGAGCCUGCUACAUUUACCAAGACUAACCUUCAGUAGUCCCUAGUCAUCCAGGACCACAUUUAAAAUGCUCCUAAUAUCUCACACAAGCAUCAUUGCUUAUUAUCUUAAAUACACCCAUAUGCACAAAACCACAAACAUGUGAAACUACCAUAACUCUGUAGUUUUUUGUGUUGAAGUAGCAAAUGUUUUGCUACAGCAAAGUAGGAACAGACAUGGCUCAAUUUAUUUGUUCUGCAAUUCCAUUGAAAUGCUUACAUGAAAGAUAAAUGCAGCCCAUUUUCUUUACCUCAAACUUCUCAGAACCAGUGUUCACAAAGACUUCAUUAAAAACAAUUUCUCCUCACAUUUCCCUGCCAAAUGUAGUGUCUUAGCUUUGGAACAUGAUUACCAUAAAAAUAUAAGAUAAAGUGCAUUCUUUCCUCCUUCUUCUCCUCCUAGAUAAACUCCUAUCUUUUGCCCAGGUAUAGGCUUCAUAGAUAGACAUACUUCAUAGCUCUCAUUUCAGUCUUCUUAUAGCAACAGCCAUGAACUUCAAACAAGGUACUGAUGUUAGCAGUUUCUUUACAUUAUCCUUUCAGAGCAAGCGGGUCAAUUCAAUGCAGUUGGCUGAGCAAGGCAGCCCCAAACUUAACAGAUGACUUGAUACCGUGUUAUCCUUCUAAUGGAAAUUUAGGGCUGAUGUGACUGAGUGGGCCAGUGGUAAGGAAUUUUUAGUUCCUUAAAAAUGUUGGGAUGUGUUUACUUUCAAAAAUAAUUUGUCAGUGAUGUAAAAUUCCUCAGAAGUCAAUGGAGUAUCAAGAAAUGAAAUUAGCUUUAAGUGAGGCCUUCUGAACUCCACAAAUGUCCCACUAAUGAACAGAGGAAUCUGUCCCAACCCUGGCUUUGUAAAGAAUUGGAAGGAAGGAUAACUUCAUUGAGCUGGGUUAAUAGAAUUAACAAAGAUUGAUAGGGGGCACUGACAGAAAUGACACUUGUCAUGUGAUUGGGGCCCCUGAAAGCACUCUACAGCUGUGCCAUGACAGAAGUGCACAGCUGCAGAGAGCUUUAAAAAGGGAUGAUCAUGUGACAAAUUAACCCUAAUGUAAUGAGGGAUCAAAUGAAGGUGUUCUAAAGGGGAGUGCCUUAGGGAACUUCUGUCAGUUCCUGAACAUGAUUGGGGCUGAGCUGAUGCAGCCCAUCCCUGCCUCCACUGCUGUCUGCAGAAAGGGAGUGGGGGGAGGAAGCUAGGGGCUGGGGUUUGCCAGAGUUGAAGGGAGAUGGGUAGAUUGGAGCCCCAUCACCUUGCGGCCCCUGCCCUCAGCCCCUUCCUCAUCUAGCUCAGGUUGGGUAAACACCAGCCUGCAGCUCCCUUCCCCACCCUUCCUGCAGACAGCAUCAGAGUUGUGGGGGAGGGGAGGGUAGAGAGGCUGCAGGCAGGUAGCUCCUCCACUGGAUCAGCUCCAAAGCGGAGCUUGCUUUCUUCCCUCCUCCCCACAUCCCCCUGACCCAACAGUGAAGGUCUGUUGGGUGUGGAGGGGAGGGGCACUCACUCAUGGCACUUUCUGCAAAGCACCAUGACUUACAGAGGGGAGCUGCAUGUCUGUCAGCACCAAGAGUGGUUCAUUUUUAUCUGUUUACAUUGCAAGACUAUAUUUCCUCCAUGUAAACGCUGAAGGAAACACCAGUUCUUGGUGUUCUCUUGCUACUAUAAAGUAUUUGAAUUUUAUAUUUAACUGCAGCUGGAUCCAUGUUUCCCCAAAAUUAUGCUGUUGCUAACUUCCCAAAAUGUGCAUCAGAAGAGCAGAACUGACUUAUAAGAGGAAAUGGAGUUUCCUAAACUGUAAAUACCCUGUGAUGGGGACCAUGCCUUGCUGUGUACAGUGCCUACAGCACUGAUUCUCCACCAGGAUGAUCUAGAUUCUUUGAAAGGUGCACAAGAAGUGUGAGGAGAUGAGCAGAUAAAGGCAGGCUCAGGCUCUCCCCUGCCUGGCCCCUCUGCAAGGAGACUCCUGCCAACUCCUGCUCAUGUGGAGACAUAUUGAUAUGCACCAGAGUAGAGAUGUCAAUAACACUAAUAAUGAAUUAUGAAGAAAACUUUUCUGCCUUUGGAGAAAGGCAAGUCAGAUGUAAUGCAGUAAAGAAAAGAUUCUCCCGGUCUUCAAUUCAGUUUAUGCUCUACGAGAAAGAACAAAAAGUUUCAGAGACAUUCUGAUUAUUGCAUGAAGCCUGAUCACUUCUAAUUGGAUCAUUCUGUGUAUUGUUCUAAUAAUUCUAUUAUGAUUAUAUUUCAGCUGGGGUGGGAAAACCUGUCUCUGCCCUUUUAAACAGAAGUCUCUCCCUUGAGAGCCAGAAAAACAAUUGCUUUCAGCCUUUUCUACUCCAGUCCAUUUAAUGGUCCUGGGUUGGGGUGGGAUUGGUACAUGUGAGAAGAGAUUCAGGACUCAGUUCAUCUUUUACUUUAAUUAGUUGGGGGCCUGCCAAAUCAGACCUCCCACCAGAGCAAAAAUGUGCUGUAUACAAGAGUGUUGUCAUCAACUGUCUCCCUGAAGGUUCCUUCAAGAAGGGCCCCACGGCUGCUUUGCGUGUCCAAAGGAACCUUGCAAGGGUCCACAAGUAAUCAGUGCCAUCCAUCUUCAAGGAUAUGAUGGCUUCAUCUGUGCCUCCUACUGAGCUGGGGUUUGCAGGUGCAUUGUGCUGCUUUGCAGUCACUCCCUAGAGAAUCUUUCUGGCCAUCAGGGACUUUGUACCUUGUGUUGAAAUGGUAUCAGAGCCCUUAACUGAAGAGAUAAACUAUGUCUCAUAUGAUUUCACUUACCCUCAGUUUACAUUGUCUCCACUGAUGUCGUGGACUUUAUCCUCAAUAAGCAUCAAUCUGAAAUCAUAUACAGAUCCUGUAGGUCAUGGAGAGCAAUGCUCCACAGCCUUUUCUUGUAAAUCUGGUGAAAAUCACAUUUUAUUACUAGUCUCUUCUAGUGUGCUCACACACUUGCUAACUUCUGUGCAUCUUACUCAUGUGAAAAGUCUCAUUUAAUCAACAUUUUAAAUCAAAGAUAUAUUUUCUAUUUAUUUUUUCUUGUUGAAAUCUCUACAUUUCAAUAGCUAACACCUAGAUUUUUGGUUUCUACACGCCAUUUCUUAGCAUUGAUCACUAAGACUGGAUUAGAAUAAGUCUCCCUAGUUGUGAUUUACUAUUGCUGGUGUGUAUGUUCAAUUACUCAUAGGAACUACUAAUGUUAAAAGUUUAUGGUUAUGGUAACUGCAUGUUGAAUAAUAGAUGACUUUGUGCUGGGCAGAGUAAUAUAUGAGAUCUCAUCAGUGUGAGGCAGGGAAACUGAACAUUAGAACAUAAAAAUCUCCAAAGAGUCUUACUUUUCAACUAUCUACACUCAAAAAUAAAUCAGAACAUUGUGAUUUUCAAAGUUCCUAGUGGUGUAACAAAUUGUUCAUUGUCCUAAUUGCAUAUUUGAAAGCAAAGAGUAAUCUAAUGUUUUGAUGCUGCUGGCUAUAUGAAGAAAAUGCCACAUUACAAGACUAUUAAAAGGCCAUCAGAUAUCUGUAUACAAUAAAAAUAUAAAUGUAAACCAUUCAAAA